GAGUUUGAUCCUGGCUCAGGAUGAACGCUGGCGGCGUGCUUAACACAUGCAAGUCGAACGGAGUACCCCUGAAGGAGUUUUCUGACAACUGAUGGGACUACUUAGUGGCGGACGGGUGAGUAACGCGUGAGUAACCUGCCUUGGAGUGGGGAAUAACAGCUGGAAACAGCUGCUAAUACCGCAUAAUAUGUCUGUGUCGCAUGGCACUGGACAUCAAAGAUUUAUCGCUCUGAGAUGGACUCGCGUCUGAUUAGCUAGUUGGCGGGGUAACGGCCCACCAAGGCGACGAUCAGUAGCCGGACUGAGAGGUUGGCCGGCCACAUUGGGACUGAGACACGGCCCAGACUCCUACGGGAGGCAGCAGUGGGGAAUAUUGGGCAAUGGGCGCAAGCCUGACCCAGCAACGCCGCGUGAAGGAAGAAGGCUUUCGGGUUGUAAACUUCUUUUCUCAGGGACGAAGCAAGUGACGGUACCUGAGGAAUAAGCCACGGCUAACUACGUGCCAGCAGCCGCGGUAAUACAUAG
rnacentral:rRNA from 1 species